AACACAAUGUCCGCCAUGUUUCUUCCCCGCGAGAAUAAAUUUGCAAUGUGAAACAGCCGAAGUGGAUUUUGAAAAUCUAUUGUUGGAUUUGGACAUUCAGGGCUAUUAGUACGAGCCAGAAUACAGCCAGGAAGAAUUGACACAAAUAGAGGAGGAGGCUGCUGCUGUGGCUGCAGCUGAACAAGCCUUGCCUGUUGACGAGGAGCGUGCCGGUUUGCUCUGUUCGCCUAUAGACACUAACACAGAGUCCCUGGGCUGCAGCGAGUUUCAGCGAUGCCAGUUUCUUCUAGAAUAAAUGGCUGAAUCUGGCGAGGACGGGGCCAUGUGUGUAACCUCUCACCCAGGCUUUACGCCUCAUCUGAACAGUUGGGUAUUGGAUACAUAUUUCCAAGUGAACUGGAAACGCCAGCCAAAGCCCGCCGGGAGAAACAGACAGACAAAACAGUAUCGGCUUCCUGUGUUGUCCAGGCCAUCAGAGCUAAUUACCCAGCACAAGAUGGGCAGUACCGUGGCUACCAGGAGACAGUAGAUGCUCAAGAUGAGCUGUGACUAUUUUGACUCCAGCAAACGCACCCUACACGUUUUAUUUUUGCAAAUAGUUCACAUUCUUUCAUGAAUAAAACUUCAAAUUCA